CCUACGGGAGGCAGCAGUGGGGAAUAUUGGGCAAUGGGCGCAAGCCUGACCCAGCAACGCCGCGUGAAGGAAGAAGGCUUUCGGGUUGUAAACUUCUUUUGUCAGGGACGAAGCAAGUGACGGUACCUGACGAAUAAGCCACGGCUAACUACGUGCCAGCAGCCGCGGUAAUACGUAGGUGGCAAGCGUUAUCCGGAUUUAUUGGGUGUAAAGGGCGUGUAGGCGGGAAUGCAAGUCAGAUGUGAAAACUAUGGGCUCAACCCAUAGCCUGCCUUUGAAACUGUAUUUCUUGAGUGCUGGAGAGGCAAUCGGAAUUCCGUGUGUAGCGGUGAAAUGCGUAGAUAUACGGAGGAACACCAGUGGCGAAGGCGGAUUGCUGGACAGCAACUGACGCUGAGGCGCGAAAGCGUGGGGAGCAAACAGGAUUAGAUACCCGUGUAGUC
rnacentral:rRNA from 1 species